rnacentral:lncRNA from 1 species
AUUGCAGGUCUGCAAACCAGUUGUGGUAUUCUGCUUUUGAGUUUUCUACUAUCAGAAAACGAAGAGCAAAGUUAAUAAGAAAAACUGAAAACAAACUAAAAUAUGUUUUAAGAACAAACUCACGAUGCCAUCUUUUGCUUCAUCAGAUUUAGCUGCUGCCAUAGCUUUGUUGUUCUCAGCCAUUGCUAGAGUUAACUUCUUCAUGGUGGCCCUAGUUAGGUCUUCAACACUACUCAAUCAUGACCAACAUUCACUAGAAAGUUAGUAAGGACGAUAUAAAAGAAGCAUUUAGAACAGUACUGACAACAAUGCAACUGAGGAUGAAAGGUCUGGGGACAUUUCAAAUUUUCCUUUCCAUUGGAGCACUCUAGGGCCUAGGCUUAUAUGUGAAGUUGGGGCACAGCCAACCUGGAC